GUUCUUCAUAUUUACAAAUACCAUAAGCAUGAUCUUCGCCAUAAUCAUAUUUUUUAUCAUGUGACGACUUGGGGGGAGUGCGUAUUAAUACAAAGGCUGGAUGAUCCCGAAAAAAAUAAGACCAAAUUAAGACCCACAUAUAUUGCCAUCUAAUUGAACUGAAGAAAGUUAAGCCACUGGAACCUUAACAGGAUACUUGUGAAUGGAAUCAAUCCAUGGGUUACCCCUUGAUUCGCCCAGGGAAAUGGCCCUGAGCGCUUUCCACACCGCACUAUUGCACUUGAAACCUGACCCGAAAGCAAUCUGCCACACUCUGUCCCCACCCGAGACCCGACCUUUGGCUUCUGUAUAUGCCAGUUCAUACCACAAUGAGCUACUGGAAGUGUUACCGAAUCUAUGCAGAGUCAUUCUUGAUGGUUCCAUGUGCCAAUCACUGAGAUGCAAAUUCUUCUGCAACUCGUCCAGAACUGCUCUCCCACCAGCAUGUAUACAGAAAUGUUCGAAAGCAAGUUUGA
rnacentral:misc_RNA from 1 species